rnacentral:lncRNA from 1 species
GCCGAGUCAAGGGAGGGAGGUGGACUAAAUACAAAAUGGGACAGCUAUUGUUAAACCACAACUUGUAAAUAUACAUCAAUCUUUUGUUGAUAAUAAGAAAGGUACAUCACUAAAACACUCUCCCCAUCAUGAACCCACCUCCAAAUUGUACAAAAAAUUUGCCCCCAUCCACUUGAUCCUAUUAAAUGAUAAGAAAAAUACUUAAUUUUCAUAAUUAGUACC